AGCGGACCAGAGAUGACGCUUCCCUGGGGGGAAGGCCAGGCCAUCUGCAUAGCUGUCACGAAGGACUUAGCAGGCCUGAUUCCUUCCUGCCGAAGAAAUCCUGAAUUGCAUGCUCUGGUGCCAAUGAGCAUUUCUACACACAUGAGCAUGUUGACAAGUUCAUGACCUCCUGUGCUGUUUACCUUUCAGAAAUGAAAGGUCACAAAUUGACUUGUCCAAGGAAGCCAGCCAGCAAUCCUGAAGCUCCAAGUGCACCCCCUUGAGAUGACAUCUCCAACUGGAAUGGUGGCUCCACAAACGGAUGUGAGUGUUUGGCAGUCAUCCUGGGAUGCCUGGUUUACAGAUCUGUCCUUCCUGUCAUCUGAAUUCAGUGUGAAACCUUUUGGCCCAAUUUCAACACAUGUUGUGAAUGCAUGCCCUUGCAGAGC